AGGGGAUAGCUCAGUGGUAGAGUUUGUGCUUAGCAUGCACAAGGCCCUGGGUUCAAGCCCCAGUACCGCUG
rnacentral:tRNA from 1 species